UAAGUGGAUGCCGAAAUCACAACCUGGCCGUUUGGAUGUUCAACUAAUGCUUUAUGCCGUGGAGUCCCUGGAACUCAGCAACCCAUGCCGGAACUCACUGGAGCUCAGCGUUAUGUGUUGUCCUGUGUCUCCCUGAAAGACGCUGAAGCCCUAUGCCGCAGGGUCUGUGGAUGGGACCUUAUUUGGAAAUAGGCUCUUCACAUGUGAUCAAGCUAAGCUGAGGUAAUGAGGGUGAAUCCUAAUCCCGUGUGCCUGGUGUCCUUAUAAAAAGGGAUGUGUGGACAAAGACACCUAAAAAGGGAAGACAAUGUCAAGACAGAGAGAGAAGGCCACCUACAAGCCAAGGAACUCUGGAGGCUGUGAGAAUCUAGGAGCGAGACCUGGGACAGACCCUCCCUCACAGCCUUCACAGGAAAAACAAACAACCAAAACC